rnacentral:rRNA from 1 species
UACGUAGGCAGCGAGCGUUGUUCGGAGUUACUGGGCGUAAAGGGUGUGUAGGCGGUUGUUUAAGUUUGGUGUGAAAUCUCCCGGCUCAACUGGGAGGGUGCGCCGAAUACUGAAUGACUCGAGUGUGGGAGAGGUGAGUGGAAUUCCUGGUGUAGCGGUGAAAUGCGUAGAUAUCAGGAGGAACACCGGUGGUGUAGACGGCUCACUGGACCAGAACUGACGCUGAGACACGAAAGCGUGGGUAGCAAACAGG